GUGGGGAAUUUUGGACAAUGGGCGAAAGCCUGAUCCAGCCAUGCCGCGUGUGUGAAGAAGGUCUUCGGAUUGUAAAGCACUUUAAGUUGGGAGGAAGGGCAGUAAGUUAAUACUUUGCUGUUUUGACGUUACCGACAGAAUAGGCACCGGCUAACUUCGUGCCAGCAGCCGCGGUAAUACGAAGGGUGCAAGCGUUAAUCGGAAUUACUGGGCGUAAAGCGCGCGUAGGUGCUUUUGUAAGUUGGAGGUGAAAUCCCCGGGCUCAACCUGGGAACUGCCUACAAAAAUGGAUGACUAGAGUACGGUAGAGGGUAGUGGAAUUUCCUGUGUAGCGGAGAAAUGCGGAGAUAUAGGAAGGAACACCAGUGGCGAAGGCGACUACCUGGGCUGAUACUGACACUGAGGUGUGAAAGCGUGGGGAGCAAACAGGAUUAGAAACCCGAGUAGUCC
rnacentral:rRNA from 1 species